GACGAACGCUGGCGGCGUGCUUAACACAUGCAAGUCGAACGGAAAGGCCCUGCUUUUGUGGGGUGCUCGAGUGGCGAACGGGUGAGUAACACGUGAGUAACCUGCCCUUGACUUUGGGAUAACUUCAGGAAACUGGGGCUAAUACCGGAUAGGAGCUCCUGCUGCAUGGUGGGGGUUGGAAAGUUUCGGCGGUUGGGGAUGGACUCGCGGCUUAUCAGCUUGUUGGUGGGGUAGUGGCUUACCAAGGCUUUGACGGGUAGCCGGCCUGAGAGGGUGACCGGCCACAUUGGGACUGAGAGACGGCCCAGAAUCCUACGGGAGGCAGCAGUGGGGAAUAUUGCACAAUGGGCGGAAGCCUGAUGCAGCAACGCCGCGUGCGGGAUGACGGCCUUCGGGUUGUAAACCGCUUUCGCCUGUGACGAAGCGUGAGUGACGGUAAUGGGUAAAGAAGCAACGGCUAACUACGUG
rnacentral:rRNA from 1 species